GCAGAUAAUAAAGCGUGGCAUCGCAGACGGCGUGGACAAAAUUCAACAACUAUUAGGACCAUAGGCCGAAUAGUUAAUAUUCACCCAAAUGCUGGCGAACUCUACUACCUUAGAAUACUGGUCAACGUUGUAAUAGGUCCAACAAGCUACGAAGACAUACUUACAGUGGGUGGUGAGAAAAGGAAAAGUUUUAAAGAAGCAUGUAGAGCUAGAGGUAUACUAGACAACGAUUUGGAGUGGCAUAAAGUGUUGGAUGAGUCAACUCAAUGGGCAACUCCACAUCAGUUACGUCAUCUAUUUGUCUUUUUGCUAAUCUACUGUGAGGUUGCUAACCCAUUAGGUUUAUGGGAACAUUGUUGGAAAUCAUUAUCUGAAGACGUCCUUCGCAAGCGCCGUCGUGAAUUUGGAUUUCAGAAGCUUACUUUAGAUGAAGAUGAGUUGCAGCAGUAUACUUUGAUUGAAGUUGAACAACUUCUGCAUCAACACGAUCGCUCACUCACAGACUUCAAAGAAAUGCCAAAGCCUGAUAAAAAGAUUCUCAAAGAACUAGGUAACAGCUUGUUGAAACAAGAAUUGUUGUACAACAGGAAAAAAGAAAAGGAAGAGCAUGAAAAACACUACCACCUUCUUAACAGUGAGCAGAGAAGAGUUUACGAUGCAGUUCUUGAUUCAGUAGUUAACAACCUGGGAAAAUUAUUCUUUCUUAACGGACCUGGUGGAACAGGGAAAACUUUUGUCUAUAAGACAUUAAUUGCAAAGUUUAGAUCAUCCAAGCAAGUGGUAUUACCUGUAGCGUCUUCAGGCAUCGCGGCAUUGCUAUUACCAGGUGGUAGGACAGCACAUUCAAGAUUUAAAAUACCACUAAAUCUCACAGAAGAUUCUAUGUGUGAUGUAAAGCCGAAUACAAUGCUCGCUGAAUUGCUUCUCAAAAUAGAUUUAAUCAUAUGGGAUGAAGCCCCAAUGUCACAUCGCCACACAUUCGAGGCACUCGAUAGGACAUUAAGAGAUUUAAUGUCUACGGAAGAUUCUUCAGCAAGUGGAAAAAUGUUUGGUGGAAAAACUGUGCUUCUAGGUGGAGAUUUCCAUCAGAUCCUACCCGUUAUAACACAUGGGUCACGAGCGGAUACAAUUCUUACAUCUAUAAGCAAAUCAUACAUAUGGGACGCAUGUAACGUAUACCACUUACAAAGAAACAUGAGGCUCCAACAGUCAGAAACAAGUUUCGCUACAUGGUUGCUAAGUAUAGGCGACGGUACUGCCCCAGAAUGCAAGACUAAAAGGGAAAUGAGAAUGACGAAGGCCAGCUUGUGGUCAUUGAUAACCGCUUCCUUCUGCAACCUACUGGAGAUCCCCUACAACAAAUUUGUCAAGCAACAAAAACACUAAAUAAGGAAUCCCAAACCAGAGCAGAAAGCCUAACUGAAAGAGCGAUUCUAACUCCACGGAACGAAACCGUAGAUGACAUUAAUGCAUACAUGUUAUCCCAAGUUCAAGGAGAGUUAAAGGAAUAUUUAAGCUACGACAGCAUCGCAAAGGCAGAUACAAUUGGAGCUGAUUAUGAAGCAUUAUACCCUAUGGAGUAUUUAAACUCACUAGAGUAUCCAGGCAUGCCGAAACAUAAGUUAAGUUUGAAACUUGGCGUCCCUAUAAUGCUAAUGAGAAACAUUAAUCAGAAAGAGGGAUUAUGCAACGGCACUAGGCUAAUUGUCACACGACUGGGAGAACGAGUCAUUGAAGGAGAAAUACUCACUGGUACACAUGCUGGCAACAAAGUAAUACUACCAAGGAUUAUUUUGUCUCCACCAAUUUCAGACCAUCCAUUCACACUCAGGAGAAGACAAUUUCCGAUCAGAGUAUGCUACGCCAUGACAAUCAACAAAAGUCAAGGACAAAGUUUGAAAUCAGUUCUACUCUAUUUGCCUACACCAGUCUUUAGCCACGGCCAACUCUACGUAGCUCUAUCUAGAGUAACCUCUCCUGAAUGCCUAACCAUUCUACAAGGAGAAGAUGAGACCGAAAAUGCAGUCACAAACAUCGUCUACAAAGAAAUCUUUAAAGAUAUCCAGAAAUAUCAAGGUAAAUAUAUAACAGCCCAAACUUUUUUAUACACAAAAAAAAAAAAAAAAAAAAUUCACGAAGCUAACAAUGUUGCAGGAUAUGCAGGUCUGUCUUCAAUUUACCCAACAUUGGAACAAGAUAACUCAUCCACAAACAAAUAGGUAUUUUACCAAACCAUUCAAUUUAAUUUACCAUAUGACUCAAGAAACUGAAUCUAAGAACUCUAAUUUUCAAACGUUGUAUUGCAUCACUAUUGGACUUCACUACAAAAUGUAAGCUCGCAGAAGAAGACUCAGAUCAUUUGUGUCUGAUGUGGAGAAAGAAGCAUGCUAAACUCUAUUAUGCCUACUAACUCAAUUGACAAUUUCGAACAGUAUUACAUUAAACUUAUGUGGUCCAUUUACUUUCAUAUUUCGAAGAAAAUUACAAUUUCGACACAUCAAUUACAACAAAAAAUAACCCAUAUAUUGACUCAACAAAAAAAACAACGAACAAGAUUCUAAUCAACAUAUACAAAUAUAAACCUGGGAAAAAAUGAAACCUUUUAAGGUCCUCAGAGAGUAAAGAACUUCUUCAUAAAUAACAAUCCUCCAAGGAAGCAUAGAUUCAGGAUCUAACAAAAUAAAGUCAAAUUACACAUCGUCAGGUGCAAACCUUACAAAAACAACAUUCAAUACAAAGGUCCCAAACUUUUGCAGAAAAUAAAAAUUAAGAAACAUUGAAGAGGAAAAAAACCAGUUCACCACGAUGUCCACCGACUUCAGUUCAAUCCCUAAACACUACUUUACCACUUUCUUUAAAGAAAAAU
rnacentral:lncRNA from 1 species